UGGGUCGGAUGAGCUUUGUAAACAAUUUGCUUAGACUGUUUUUUUUUGUAACAGAUUGUGGAUUGGCUUUAUUAACAAAAUAGGAUGCCCAGUCAAUAUCUAGGUUUCCUCAUCGUCUUCUUGUCUACUAAAUUUUCAGAGAUCCCCUUUCACCUUCCAGUAACGUCUCAGCCUUCCAUUAUUAUGUGCUUAACUCCGAUCUUCUGCGUGAUUAUCCCAUUCCUUCAACUGGGAAGCAAUCAAUCGACCUCUUCGCAUCCCACAGUAACCGGCUGAAGGUUUGAGUAUAAAUAUCCCACCAUGGACACCACAACUCAGACGCGAUCCAGAAGAACAGUUAGUUCUACCAAACAGUUCCGACGAUGGCGACUUAUACACCUCUCUCUCAAGCUCCCUCCAAAUUCUAUAAUGCUGAUUUAGUUUCAUUUUUUAAUCUUUCAUCUCGCUUUCAAUUACCGAAACGCCAUCACAGGUUAAUUUUUUUCAAUGGGAAAAGUGUGAUUCUUAGGAAUUUUUUUAUGGGGAUGAUGAAUACUUAUUUAUCUUGGCUGUGUUUUAGAAGUGAUCUGAUAAGUACGUGACGUUUUGGAUUCUAAGGUUUUCACUAAGGAGUUUGCAGUGAUUUUUAGGUUAGCUUUUGUUGUUAAAUUUGCCUUGAGUCUGUUGUUGGGUUUUUGUUUUAUGAUUUAACUGCAUAAGUAAAUUUCAAAACCUUUUUUUGCUCUGCUCAGUUGAUUUUUCAGAAUGAUAACUACAUAUUUAUGGAUACCGAAAAGGGCUCCAAAGGCGAUGCCUGAUGAUGCUGAACCUCAUUCUGAAUAAAAAAUCAAUGGGCUUGUCUAUAAUGGCACUCUCAAGAAAAGCAUAUACUAUCUGAGUGACAUGGACGACGUAGACAAACGGAUGGAGCAUGAAAUAGAUAGUGGUGAAGUUGCUCAUGCCAAGGCUGUAGGCACAUCUUUUGGAAAACAUUGUUCCAAAUACAACAAGCUGAUCGGGCGUCAAACUGAUAGCGGAUGGUGUUAUAUUUCAUGGUAAAAAUUCUCGACGAAGUUAUAGCGAGUGGUGUCUUCCAACGAUGUCGGUGUCGUCAGGUUUCUGAUGAUCAAAGAGAGAGGUUGGCAAUGUCAGUAGAGAGGCUCUGUCUAGAGAUAAAACUAGAGAGUAGAAAAACCAUGAUGGAGACGGAAGAUCUUGGUGUCUCAGCUCUUCAAGAUCUGAGCCAACACUCGCAUAGCAAGCUUUAUGGUUCUGUUAACGCUCACCGUCUCAACACAUUCAGACACCUGUUCAGUGAAAGUUCACUCUAUUCGAUAAGUGGGUUCGAAGCUAAACCGAGCAACAACAAAUUCAAAAUCUCUUACUCCCCUCUUUAUAUCCGCUGCGUUUCAUCUGUUGACGGAAUCAGUUAAUCCAAUAACUGAUGCAGUGUUCAGAUUUUCCAAAUAUGACCAACUACUAGCAUUGGCUAACACAAACCAAGGGAUGUCGUUGCUACUCUGCUGAAUAAUUAUAAUUAGACCAUGUGUUAUUUUGCUGUCAGUAGUGUCCUAAGGUUCCUCUAAUGUUGGCUCAUUUUGGGCAGGUUGCAAGGAGCUUUAUGCAUAACUUCUUAUUAUGUAAAAGGUUCCUUAAGAGUAAGAAAAAACUCUGAUACCAUCCUUUCUAAAUACUGAUUUAGUUACGUCUUUUAUGUCUCAAUAAAAAACAAAUGUGGAGAGAAAGCAUCAGCAACAUCAGACGCAUACACAAUUUUCUGAACAUAAAAUCAACAACAGAAACGACAAAGUGAAUGGGUCGGGUUCACAGCAACAGAAGCAUAAGCACCAUUAGUGGUUGCUAAAAUACAUGACUCUGGUGGUCAACAAGGCUGUGUUAUAUUCCUUCAAACAUGAUGAUCCAAAAAGCACAGGCAUUUACAUUUUUCUUUCUCAAACAUCAAU